GCGUUAAUCGGAAUUACUGGGCGUAAAGCGCACGCAGGCGGUCUGUCAAGUCGGAUGUGAAAUCCCCGGGCUCAACCUGGGAACUGCAUUCGAAACUGGCAGGCUAGAGUCUUGUAGAGGGGGGGAGAAUUCCAGGUGUAGCGGUGAAAUGCGUAGAGAUCUGGAGGAAUACCGGUGGCGAAGGCGGCCCCCUGGACAAAGACUGACGCUCAGGUGCGAAAGCGUGGGGAGCAAACAGGAUUAGAUACC
rnacentral:rRNA from 1 species